AUGACUGGCCAUGUCCCUUUGAGAGCUGUCAGUUUCCCUGUGGUUCUGCCUGACAGCAGGGAAGGGCAGUGCCUGUGGGUCCUCCCCAGUGUCAGGACCAGGUGCCAGCCUUUUGCCCUGGUCGGAAGCAGCAAGACAAGUACAGGUAGACUGCAGCUGCCUUUCAUGGCAUGGCACAGCACGUGACAGCAGGCAGCAGACCCAUGGGCAGAGGGAAGGAGCCACCCAGGACCAGAACACCUGCUGUAUUCUCCCGGCAAACACUGGGGCCAUGGUGUUUCUCCUCUAAUGACACCUCAUCAAUCCGCUCCUAUCAACGUCCCAGCCACGGAGGUGACUUGGAGUGCUCAGAAGCUAUAGAAAAUGUCAACGUUUUGGGAGAAAAGAACGAGAAACCUCCACCACAACAAAUGAAGCAGGCACUGAGCUGAGGCGCUGGUCUGCGUCAUCUGCGUCCCAGCUGCGGGGAGCUGGGCUGAAAAGUAGCCCGAAGAGUUUUAGGAGGCUGGUGGGUAACUACCGAAGGUGUGAAUUUCUCCUUGGGCAACCGAACGUUUUCUGACAGCGUGCGGCUGCAGGCAGGAGCGACUGCGGCUCGGGGGCUGUUUUUAAACAGGGCUACGGUGGCUUUGAUCCCGAGCUGCAGCGGCCGAGUUUCCCCUGCUGGUGUUGGUGAAGGCUCUAGGGCUUGGGAGCCUGGAAGGUUUUCCUGUCAUUAAUGCCCGUCACAUAUUAAUCGGUGCAGAAGAGACUUGUCUCCUUAGCCCUGUUAAGCUGCGAGUUUGCAGCUCUGUGUGAAGUAGCAAAGGCAAGGUACGUGAUGAGAUGCAAACAGGGGAGAAAGUGCUUUCACUGACGUUCAGAGAAACAAGCAAAAACACCUGUGAGAAGCGGGUGCUUCAGGGACAUCCACGCUUGCAAAUUGUUCAUGGGUAUCUUGGAGAUAGCACUUCUCUACUUGUGGAGUGAUUAAGUUACCUCUUCAGCACUGGCAAAGCCUGUGGAUGAUGAGCUCUGCCUUCACCUGCAGGUGUUGCCAUGGCAAGGGACUCCAGAAGUACAGUCAGGCAACAAAAACAAAAAAGGGAUAAAGCAAAAAUGAGAAAUGAGGAAGGAGGCAAUAAGGAUAGCACGCUGAGCUGGCGCCUUCCCUUGCAGCUCCUGCCAAGCUGGCAGUGCUGCUGCCCGCCCUGUGCCAUCCUUGGCACUAGCAGGGAACUCAUGGCUGCAGCACUGUGGCUCUCCUGUCCAGCUGCCGUUCCCUGGGACAGCUCAGCUUGCAGGCUAAAGCCUCAGCAUAGGGUCACCUUCAAGCGUGUUCCACUGCUUCUGGAGCCCUUUAAAGCGUCAGCAUCUAACCAUGGUGGUCUUACCCUUGAGUUCCAUGUGUUCAAAAUGGAAAUGACUUUUUUUUUUUUCCUCUGCAUCCAUGUUUCCCUCUCCAUCCUACUUCAGAAAACACUUUCGUAUCUUUGCUUCUCUGUAUUUGUGGAUAUCUGACUUGAGCGUAUGUGCAUGCAUUUGAAUUACUUGACUUUAAAAAAAAAAAAA